rnacentral:rRNA from 1 species
UCUGGGCGUAAGCGUGCGCAGGCGGUUAUGUAAGACAGAUGUGAAAUCCCCGGGCUCAACCUGGGAACUGCAUUUGUGACUGCAUGGCUAGAGUACGGUAGAGGGGGAUGGAAUUCCGCGUGUAGCAGUGAAAUGCGUAGAUAUGCGGAGGAACACCGAUGGCGAAGGCAAUCCCCUGGACCUGUACUGACGCUCAUGCACGAAAGCGUGGGGAGCAAACAGGAUUAGAUACCCUGGUAGUCCACGCCCUAAACGAUGUCAACUGGUUGUUGGGAAUUAUUUUUCUCAGUAACGAAGCUAACGCGUGAAGUUGACCGCCUGGGGAGUACGGCCGCAAGGUUG